UGCACAAUGGGGGCAACCCUGAUGCAGCGACGCCGCGUGUGGGAGGAAGGCCUUCGGGUUGUAAACCACUGUCGGGCGGGACGAGCCGGGGGUCGUCGAACAGGCGGCUCCUCCGACGGUACCGCCCAUAGGAAGCUCCGGCUAACUCCGUGCCAGCAGCCGCGGUAAAACGGAGGGAGCAAGCGUUGUCCGGAAUUACUGGGCGUACAGAGCGCGUAGGCGGCCAGGUAAGUCGUAUGUGAAAGGCCCGGGCUCAACCCGGGCAUGCCAUGCGAUACUGCCUGGCUAGAGGCCGGCAGGGGCCAGUGGAAUUCCCGGUGUAGCGGUGGAAUGCGUAGAUAUCGGGAGGAACACCAGCGGCGAAGGCGACUGGCUGGGCCGGACCUGACGCUGCAGCGCGAAAGCGUGGGGAUCAAACA
rnacentral:rRNA from 1 species